AGAGUGGCCAAGGUAGCAGAAGGAGCAUGCACCUUGCUGGCCCAGGGACAAGCAGGAAGUUGGGAGUGGACACAGAGUCCACUCUAUGGAAAGCCAGAAAAGCAGCUUUGGGUCUGUGAUGACUCGUCAUUAGCCAUGGAGGGUCUGAGACCCACACCUCUACCUGCUCACUUACUUCAGGUCCCAGAGGGUCCCUGGACCUAAUGACACAUGUUCUGGGCCUCAAGCUUCUCAUCAGAAGAAUGGGGAAAGUGAUAAUAUGGUGACCGGCAGAGGUGCCAGCACUCAAUAAAUACAUAGAGGUCUCGAAGCAGUGAUGUCUCUUAGCAUCCUUGGCUGUCAGGAAGGAUUGGGACGCUCAAAGAGAAACUGAGCUGCUGUGCCAAGCCUCUCUCACCACAGUGGACUGAAGACCCUGCAACAGCCAGAAGUGACUGUCGCCUCCUUUGGCUAUUUCUAUCAGAUACACCAGAAGGUUGUGAGCCACCACAUGGUUGCUGGGAAUUGAACUCAGGACCACUGGAAGAGCCAGUCAACCGCUGAGUCUUAAGCGCUGAGCCAUCUCUCCAGGUUUUUUAUUACACACCAUGUGCACGCAGUGUCAAUUGAGACCUGAAGAGGGCACUAGACUCCUUGGAAGUGCAGAUACAGAUGAUUGUGAGCUACUGUGUGGCUUCUGGAACCAGAACCCAGGCUCUCUGCAAGAGCAGUCAGUUCUCCUAACAUCAGAACCAUCUCUCUAGCUCUAUCAUUUGACUUUUAACUGCUAACACUCACUUCUGCCUUAAAGAAGUUUUUUUUUUUUUAUUUCUAUAAAGCCAAAUUAGUCUCCCCUGCCCCUUUCUGAGGGCUUUGUCUGAGGACUUCUCACGCAUUAAAAAUAUUGUUCAAACUG
ensembl:lincRNA 2610028E06Rik RIKEN cDNA 2610028E06 gene